GACGAAAGCCAGGGGAGCGAAAGGGAUUAGAUACCCCUGUAGUCCUGGCCGUAAACGAUGAACACUAGGUGUCGGGGGAAUCGACCCCUUCGGUGUCGUAGCUAACGCGUUAAGUGUUCCGCCUGGGGAGUACGCACGCAAGUGUGAAACUCAAAGGAAUUGACGGGGGCCCGCACAAGCGGUGGAGUAUGUGGUUUAAUUCGAUGCAACGCGAAGAACCUUACCAGGGUUUGACAUCCUGCGAACCUCUUAGAAAUUUGAGGGUGCCUUCGGGAAUGCAGUGACAGGUGGUGCAUGGCUGUCGUCAGCUCGUGUCGUGAGAUGUUGGGUUAAGUCCCGCAACGAGCGCAACCCACGUUUUUAGUUGCCAGCAUUUAGUUGGGCACUCUAGAAAGACCGCCGGUGAUAAACCGGAGGAAGGUGUGGAUGACGUCAAGUCAUCAUGCCCCUUACACCCUGGGCUACACACGUACUACAAUGCUACGGACAAAGGGCAGCAAACUCGCGAGAGCUAGCAAAUCCCAUAAACCGUGGCUCAGUUCAGAUCGUAGGCUGCAACUCGCCUACGUGAAGUAGGAAUCGCUAGUAAUCGCAGGUCAGCAUACUGCGGUGAAUACGUUCCCGGGCCUUGUACACACCGCCCGUCACACCAUGGAAGUUGGCCAUGCCCGAAGUCGUUACUCCAACCCUUGUGGAGGAGGACGCCGAAGGUGGGGCUAAUGACUGGGGUGAAGUCAUAACAAGGUAGCCGUA
rnacentral:rRNA from 1 species